rnacentral:lncRNA from 1 species
AAGCGGCUCGGAGUGUUCUGGAAGUGGCAGGAGCACGACUCCCUUAACUCUGGUGCAGGGUUUACCUCGGCUCCCUCGGGACGGGUUCCGUGCAGCUCCUGCUUCCUCCCUUCUCUUUCCCAGUGCCAUCCCUGGCGAGGGGGAAAAAAAAAAACACGGCCAGGAGACUUCCCACCCCUGCUUUGCUAUUUUUGUACCUCCGUGACAGAAAAACAAAACCCUGAGGAAAAGUCAGGCGACUUCAUUCCCUGCCGUCCGCGCCGGGGCCUCGACUACUGCUGGCGUCCGCGGCUUUCGCCCGCCGCUCCACAGAGACGGGGUCUUAUUAUGUUGCCCAUGCUGGUCGUGAACUCUUGGCCUCAAGCAGUCCUCAAACCUUAGCCUCCCAAAGCGCUAGGAUUACAGGUGGAUAAAACCUUGUAUGCAUCAACUACCUCUCUUUCAAGAUGGAAUUUUCAGAACACAUGGUCUGGGAUUGGAGCUGGAGCUUGGAAAUAUUGAGUGGGUGAGAAAGACUUCAUUGUUUUGUGACAGGUUAUUGUGAAAACAGCCCACUUCUGCCUGAAGAUCCAAGCCCAAGGCCUUCCUGGCCCCAGGGAUUUUGGGAUUCUUAAGAGCAAAAGAAGGAAAGAAAACAUGAGAGACUUUGGUACUGGGUACGAGCAUGAAAAGAGAAGGAUUGGUAAAAAAUAUCUCUUGGGAGCUCCUGCUGUGAUGCGAGGGUUAGUCCUGCCAUCCCAGGGCAAACUUCAUAAAAGAGGUCAGAUCCAAAGAUUGCAGAAGCCAGAAGAGACACUGCAUCCUUCCUGGUUAGGCCUGGUUAUGCCAGCUUCCUGGACUCUGCUGGCUGGUUGCCUCAAUCCAUGCCUCAGAUUGGGUGGAGUCUACAGAUUGAGGGCAAAUCCCACCUCCUCCCAACCCCCACCACUAGGCCUAUCUGGAAGACAGAAAAGAGCAGCAAGAAAUCUCAGGGAUUUUCUUUGAUUACUCAGAGGGAAAUAGUUUUCAUACUCAGAGACUGAUAGGCAGUCAAUAACAUUUGCUUUGUGAAUUUUCACCCAGCUACUUCUGGAUGAGAUAAUCACCUUUGCUGCUAAAGAAAAUCUUAGCUCAUUUUCUUCUUGGGGUGAUGGUAUAAGAGUUGAUAAACAAUUUGUAAGUAUUUAUCAUCUGGCAUAUUUAACAAAAUAUCUUUGUGAUCCAUAAAGCAAGGCAUAAAUUACAUUUGAAAGUGCAUUCCAUUAAACAAGAACAUUAGAGAGAAAGAGAGAGAGAGAGACACUUUGGACCUUGAUCUGUUCCAAUGACAUAGAAACUUGCUUUACAGAUUGGCUUUCUCCUAGUGCACUAUUGCAAAAUUAGAGCUAUACUAGAAACAUCCUUAGAGUUUGAUAAUUGAAUUACAGUGGAGAAAAAUAAGGUUUAUAUUUCUUAACUAUACCUUUGAAUUUCUUACUACUACAGAGGAUAAUUUUCCUGGUCCCUGGGGUUAGUGGUGAAAAACUAAUUGUUUUAUUAAAUUCAUGCCUCAUUCUUGUGACCCCAGAUUUUCGAAUUUGAAUAGGAAUGCAGUCAAGGGGUGAAUUCUGACAUCUUCAUUCUUUACUUAGCUCUUAAAAGCCAAGAUACUUUAUAUUACUUGUUUAUACUAAUCUUUGAUCACAAUAUAUUUACAUUGCUGGCAAGUAAAGUCUCUUAAUAAUAUAGCAGCAAAUAUUAGCUCUUCAUUCAAAAUUGUUAUUAUUCGGGAGUACUAUACAUGGUCUCUUACAUUAGGAUUUAUGAAAGUAGGAAUUAAUUAUGUUUAUUUAAUUCAAACAAGUGUUUUUCUCAAAGUAAUGAGUGUUAUGAAGGGAACUUAUUUGACCACAUACAACCCUGAGAUUCUUAUCUUUUUGGCAAAUAGCACUAACUGUGGAAAAGCUUAAGAUCAGUGGGGUUGUCGGUUUCCCCACACGUUGAGUUGAUGAUAGGUUAUAAUAAAAAUAUCAGACCAAAUUCUGCCACUUAUAUAGGCAUGUAUUAAACAUGUAUUUGUAAGCAAGUAUACAACAGUUCAUAGAAUAAGAUAAAAACCUAGCUCUCUGUCCUCUUUAGUGCUCUAAUGACUUCAAGCUGGCUCAACAAUAUUCCAGAGGCAAGAUUCUAUUACUCUUAUAGUUAGCAUCGGAAAUCCAAUGGAUGGACACUGGAUUCUUUGAGGAUCAAGCUUGAGGUGCCAAGCAUGGGAUGCAUUUCUGAAAUAUUUGAGUUUAAUCGUAUAUCUUGAAUACCACUUAUUAUUCCAGUGAGAUCUGAUUGAUGAUUAACUUAUUGAACAAGUCACUAAUUUUACCAAUGAAAAUAUAUUUCUGAUGUUUACUUUGCUAAUUAGCAAGACAUCUGGGUUUGGUAUACACAUCUGGUGAGAGAUGAAGGGCAGAAAUUGAGGCACAGAAACAAUAAGUGGUUUCCCUUAAGAUCAGAUAGCUAGUAAGUGUCUCAGCUUGUUUGUGCAUCCCACAGUGAGGAGCCUGUGUUUUUUUAAAUCUCUCUGGAUUAGUUGUGCUGGUAAGUUCUCUAGAAGCAACUUGACUCCACUGUUUUGAGGGCAGAAAUAAAAUGAACAGGCUAUAAUUGAGGUUGUAGAAGAGAUAAAAGAAAAUCUGUGAUGCAAGUAACUACACAGAGUCCUGUCUGUGAAAUGCAGGAGGCUGUCCAUAACUAAAGGCAUCUACCUUUAGAAAGGCAGUAUCAGAUUGUCACUUAUCUUGAUGGUCAUGAGAUAGGGAUGUUCUGGUUAAUAAAAUAUUCUAGUUAGUAGAGAUUCUCAGUAGACUCUAUACUCUAAUUUCUCAUUUAAAAGAAAUUGGACUCUUACAAAAUAAACAUGAUAUGAACCCAGAAUUUAACUUACUAUUUUCUUACUGUUAUCCCAAAGACAUUACAUGAUAUUGAACACUUUGAGGUAAUUAUGGUACUGGGGGAGCAUAAUUGUUCCUACUAAUAGAAACAAAAUACUAAGGAUUUUUCUAGAAACUCUUAAGAGCCAUUUACCUGGCUAAGGAUUUUUCUAGAAACUGUCCUUUCAAGAGCCAUUUACCUGGAAUAAAAGUGAUGUGUAUGAUAAACAGUUGGCUAUACAGACCCAAGAUGAAAUUCAAAAUAUGACUUCUGAAAAUUCUGAAUUCAAAAUCAAGUUUUUGAUACUUUAGGAUCAGCUAGAUGAUCAUCAUAAAUUUGUCUCCUUUCCACUUCAAUUUUUUUUCAUCUUCACCAAUCUACACUAUAUUCAAGCCAACUUACCAUUUCCCUUACUCCGUUUUCCCUGCAACUUCCCUAAGCUGUUAGUGUUAUUGUACUACUCUUCUUUAUGCCACUUAGGCUUGAAUUCUUGGCCCAAUUUCUCUCACUUCUGCAUGAAGUCACCAAAUGCCAGUGAUUCUGCUUCUAACAUAUUUCAGACAUCAUUUCUGUCCAUUCCCACUACCAGAAAGAAACUCUGUGUUAGUUUUUCUUUUACCUUUAUUGACUUUUUAUAAUAGCAUUUAUGGCGUGUUGAAUUGUGGCCCCCCAAAAAUAUGUCCAAGUCUUAACCCUGGUGCCUAUAAAUGUGACCUUAUUUGGGAAAAGAGUCUCACAGAUGAAAUUAAGUUAAAGAUCUUACCCUGGAUUAACCAGGUAGAUGCUAAAUCGAAUAAAAAAGUGUCUGUACAGGAAGAGAAGAGGAGAAUCACAGAGAAGAAAGCCAUGUGAAGAUGGUAACAGACACUGGAGUCUGUAACCCCAAGUGUAAUGCGACGGGUUCUCCACCAGGUUACUUAAGGGUGUAUGUCCACUGCUUGAGCCCUGAAGACUGGGUGGUGAGCCAAGGUCAUGGUGCUCAGCCAAGGAACACCAUGUGCUGUGUUCCCUGAGAACACAAACAUUUGGGAGAGUACCUGGGGACAUACCAAGAAAAACACUCAUCACACACAGAGAAGAAAAGCCAGAAAAUUAGCUUAAAAGCAGCUUGAAGAUGGGUGGGGUAAGGGGGUGUGUGGGGCAAAUCUCCAGAGUUGUCCUGCUACCACCUAGGAAUGCCCUGUAUGUUAAGUCCUAAUAAACUCACCUACUCAUC